GAUGAACGCUGGCGGCGUGCUUAACACAUGCAAGUCGAACGAUGAAGCUGGAGCUUGCUCCGGUGGAUUAGUGGCGAACGGGUGAGUAACACGUGAGCAAUCUGCCCUUGACUCUGGGAUAACUGCGGGAAACUGUAGCUAAUACCGGAUACGACGCCUUGGGGCAUCCCACGGGCGUGGAAAGAAUUUCGGUCAAGGAUGAGCUCGCGGCCUAUCAGCUUGUUGGUGAGGUAACGGCUCACCAAGGCGACGACGGGUAGCCGGCCUGAGAGGGUGACCGGCCACACUGGGACUGAGACACGGCCCAGACUCCUACGGGAGGCAGCAGUGGGGAAUAUUACGCAAUGGGCGAAAGCCUGACGCAGCAACGCCGCGUGAGGGAUGACGGCCUUCGGGUUGUAAACCUCUUUUAGCAGGGAAGAAGCGAAAGUGACGGUACCUGCAGAAAAAGCACCGGCUAACUACGUG
rnacentral:rRNA from 1 species